rnacentral:rRNA from 1 species
AGAGUUUGAUCCUGGCUCAGGAUGAACGCUAGCGGUGUGCUUAAAGCAUGCAAGUCGAACGUGAUCCCUUGGAUUCGUCUGAGGGUGAAAGUGGCGAACGGGUGAGUAACGCGUUGGUGAUCUACCCCGGAGUGGGGAAUAACUAUUGGAAACGAUAGCUAAUACCCCGGAUGUUAUCGUGUUUGGAAAGCGAUGACUAAAGUUCAGGCGCUCCGGGAGGAGCCUGCGUCCCAUCAGCUAGUUGGUAGGGUAAUGGCCUACCAAGGCAUAGACGGGUAGGGGGCGUGAGAGCGUGGCCCCCCACAUUGGUACUGACACACGGACCAAAUACCUACGGGUAGCAGCAGCUAGGAAUAUUGGACAAUGGGCGAAAGCCUGAUCCAGCAACACCGCGUGGAGGACGAAGGCCUUCGGGUCGUAAACUCCUUUUAGGGGGGAUGAGAACGGACAGUACCCCCAGAAUAAGGCCCGGCUAACUACGUGCCAGCAGCCGCGGUAAUACGUAGGGGCCAAGCGUUAUCCGGAUUUACUGGGCGUAAAGCGCAUGUAGGUGGUUGAUUAAGUCGGACGUGAAAGCUCCUGGCUCAACUAGGAGAGGUCGUUCGAAACUGAUCGGCUAGAGGGUGGUAGAGGAGAGCGGAAUUCCAGGUGUAGCGGUGAAAUGCGUAGAUAUCUGGAGGAACACCAGUGGCGAAAGCGG